rnacentral:rRNA from 1 species
AUUGAACGCUGGCGGCAUGCUUUACACAUGCAAGUCGAACGGUAACAGGGUGCUUGCACCGCUGACGAGUGGCGAACGGGUGAGUAAUGCGUCGGAACGUGCCGAGUAGUGGGGGAUAACGCAACGAAAGUUGUGCUAAUACCGCAUACGUACUGAGGUAGAAAGUGGGGGACUUUCGGGCCUCACGCUAUUCGAGCGGCCGACGUCUGAUUAGCUAGUAGGUGAGGUAAAGGCUCACCUAGGCGACGAUCAGUAGCGGGUCUGAGAGGAUGAUCCGCCACACUGGGACUGAGACACGGCCCAGACUCCUACGGGAGGCAGCAGUGGGGAAUUUUGGACAAUGGGCGAAAGCCUGAUCCAGCCAUGCCGCGUGUCUGAAGAAGGCCUUCGGGUUGUAAAGGACUUUUGUCAGGGAGGAAAUCCCUAGUGCUAAUAACACUGGGGGAUGACAGUACCUGAAGAAUAAGCACCGGCUAACUACGUGCCAGCAGCCGCCGUAA